UUCUUGGGUAUGCACGGUUAUCGCAGUCUCGCAUUGUUAGGCUGAUAGACGCGUUUUUUGUGGUGAGAAUGUGAAUCGGACCUAUCGACAACCAUGUCGGGCAUUAUUAAAUAAAUUUUCAUUUAAAUAAUUAUCUAAACAGAGGCAAGGAUUCUCAAGGAUAACAAAUGCGCGCAAUCACUCAUAUGUACGUGGUGGAUACUUUGCUCGAUUCCUAUCAACGAUACAUGAAUAUUAAAACAGCGGCGCUGUGUAUUAUUUUCGAGAUAAAGCCGUAUAAAAGUGGAACUGAUAAAACAAGUUCGCCAACAAAGAUGAGUUCUUGAACAAACUUUGGAACUAUCCUAUGCAAUACACUAAGAGAAGAUGUUCUGAAUUGCUACCGGUAACGAUUAGUUAAUACGUAGAUUUAACGCCACAACGAUUUGAAAAGGGGAAAGACAACGUAAAUUUCACAUAAAUUUACGGGAAUUCACGUAAAAAGACGAGAGAAUUUCACCCAAAUUGUUCGCAUCUGGAUACUGUUGUCGUUCUUAAAAAGUGCUGGUUUUUGUCAGGCUCAAAAUAUGGACAACUUGUUUUCGUAUGGCUUGUACAACUGCAGUACUAUAAUUCUCAGACGAGACAUCACAAUCUUGUUGAUGUUAAAUCGUAGCGAACUUCUUAAUAUAUUGCAAAACGCUUUGGAUAGUUCUACGGAACGGCAAGUUCUACAUGAUGCUUUUUUAGAUUGUUUAUUUAAUUAUCAAGAGCGGCCGUUUGACUUAUCAUGGUGGCAAAAGUUGUUCUGGUCCCUGAUAUUCGCUGCAAUGCUGUUGGUGGCAACCGGUGGCAACAUCAUCGUCAUAUGGAUCGUACUUGCACAUCAACGGAUGCGCACGGUCACCAACUAUUUUUUAGUUAACCUUUCCGUGGCUGACCUGAUGAUGUCAUUACUUAACUGUGUUUUCAACUUCAUUUUUCUACUGAAUUCUGACUGGCCAUUUGGCGUGGUAUACUGCACUAUCAACAACUUUGUAGCGCAUGUCACGGUCUCUUCAAGUGUCCUCACUCUUGUAACCAUUUCCUUCGAUAGAUAUAUGGCCAUUAUGAGGCCUCUGAAACAUCAUAUGUCUCGGAAAAAGACGGUAAUGAUUGUUUUUCUAAUAUGGGUCAUCUCUUCAAUUUUGGCUGUACCAUGUUUGUUAUAUUCAACAACAGAGUCUAGAAGGUAUUCGAAUGGCACGACUAGGAUUUCGUGUUAUUUGGUAUGGCCAGACGGAACUUAUAUGCACAGCAGAAUUGAAUACUUUUAUAACAUCGUAUUUUUGAGCGUAACGUAUCUAGUACCUAUGGCGUUGAUGGCAAUAUGUUAUACCCUAAUGGGUCGAAAACUCUGGGGCUCAAAAUCCAUAGGAGAGCUAACGUAUUACCAAAAGAAAUCAAUAAAAUCUAAACGGAAGGUUGUGAAGAUGUUUAUCAUCGUAGUUGUGAUAUUCGCCAUCUGUUGGCUACCUUAUCAAGGGUUUUUUAUUUUCGUUUAUCAUCACAAGCAUUUGGCGGAAAAUAGCAACAUCCAACAUGUUUAUUUAAGUUUCUAUUGGCUCGCCAUGUCAAAUGCCAUGGUAAAUCCUAUCAUAUACUACUGGAUGAACAAUAGGUUUCGGCUCUAUUUCCAACUAAUAAUAUGCAAACGUACAAACUGCGACGAUUCCCCAAUGCAUGACUUUGUAAAACGAACAGAUGUGAUACCUUAUAACUCAGGUCGUCUUAAAUCCGCUUCGAUACGUUGGAAGCGUAACAUGGCAAAGACACAGAUGCAAAAUAUACGAAUGCGAUCUAUAUGUAUAAACGAUCACAAACAAGACACAACUACCGUCUGAUAAAUAACAUAUAAAUAACAUAAUAAACAAAUUUUUUUGUAAAUAGUAAAAUCUUAUGAUGAUUAGUUUUUCGUUGGUCGGAGCUGUGUAAGAUAUUUUGUGUAAUUGGAAAUUUAACGCAAAGUUGUAGGUUAUCGGUUUGUUUUCCUUUGUAUAAAUUGCCCUGCGAGCAUGAAUGGACGAUGCAUCUGGAGAAAUGGACUGUGACGAAUAACAACGAGCAGCAAGAGGAUUAACAAGAGGAAGAAGGAAAAGAACGUUUAAUCGUUGAUAAUGAGAAAAUGUAUUAUCUGGUUGGUUGCGUGCGAGCGUGAGAGAAAAAGUGUGAAAUGAGGGAAGGGCUGGGAGAAGUAUCUUGUAAAUGUGUAAAUAACAAGUGUAAAUAAAAUAAUUUGGAAAUGUGAAACGUUUUGCUUAAAACAAGUAAUGAUAAGAGCGUAAAAAUAUGGGGUGAAAAGACGAGGUGUGUAAUAAAGACGCGUAAAUAAAAUAAACGCGUUGCUAACUUGGGUGCGUGGAAGGGUGGAGCAGGAAAGGUAAUAGCGAUGUUAAUUGAGCAUGGGAAUUUGUCAAAACAUGGGUUAGUUUUGUUAGAAAAUUGUAAAAUAUGUAAAAAGAUUGUAGAAGUUAGAUGCGUGAAAGUUGAAAGAAGUAAGAAAAGAAGGAAAAGAGAGUAUAAAAUGAUAAUAGGUAAUACGUAAGGCAAUAUAAUUUUCUGGAUGGUAAAAGAAUGGAUUUGUUUGGAUUCUAGGAGACUAAAGAAUAAAUAAAGAUCCAUUUAGGAGAUA